rnacentral:rRNA from 1 species
GGAGUUAGUCGGUGCUUCUUCUGUGAGUGAUGUCCUUCCUGCCGGCUAUUAACCCGCAGGCCUUCUUCCUCACUGAAAGUGCUUUACAACCCGAAGGCCUUCUUCACACACGCGGCAUGGCUGGAUCAGGGUUGCCCACAUUGUCCAAUAUUCCCCACUGCUGCCUCCCGUAGGAGUCUGGGCCGUGUCUCAGUCCCAGUGUGGCUGAUCAUCCUCUCAGACCAGCUACGGAUCGUCGCCUUGGUGAGCCGUUACCUCACCAACCAGCUAAUCCGACAUAGGCUCAUCCGAUAGCGCGAGGCCCGAAGGUCCCCCGCUUUCCCCCGUAGGGCGUAUGCGGUAUUAGCCUGGGUUUCCCCAGGUUAUCCCCCACUACCGGGCAGAUUCCUAUGCAUUACUCACCCGUCCGCCGCUCGCCACCAGGGAGCAAGCUCCCCGUGCUGCCGCUCGACUUGCAUGUGUUAGGCCUGCCGCCAGCGUUCAAUCUGAGCCAGUGCUACAACUCACGAGAGCGGCGGCGCGACGACGGC